UACGUAGGGUGCGAGCGUUGUCCGGAAUUAUUGGGCGUAAAGAGCUUAUAGGCGGUUUGUCGCGUCUGCUGUGAAAUUUCGGGGCUCAACCCCGAACUUGCAGUGGGUACGGGCAGACUAGAGUGUGGUAGGGGAGACUGGAAUUCCUGGUGUAGCGGUGAAAUGCGCAGAUAUCAGGAGGAACACCGAUGGCGAAGGCAGGUCUCUGGGCCACUACUGACGCUGAGAAGCGAAAGCAUGGGGAGCGAACAGG
rnacentral:rRNA from 1 species